GCUCCAUGCAGAUCCAGGCGUGGUGGUGGCGGCUAAAGCUGUUUUGCUGGUGGGCUGAGCAUGGGAGGUGUUUUCUCUACUGCAGGGUCAGAGUCCUGGAUGCCUGCUGUGGACAGGCACAUGGAUUGCACGACUCAUUUGACCCUGGGGGCUUCCCUUGGAGGGAGACUCCUGCUCAUGGGUGAGGACACGCUGUGGCCACAACUGCCUGGACUGCAGCCCAGUGAGAUGCUCAGCAGACGGCUCCUGAGCUGUGCCUGGACUUAGGACCUAGCAUCUCUGAGACAAUAGUCGUGGUACUUGAAGUGACCGAAGGUGUGGUCCCUUGUGAGCUUGGGCAUCUGGUAGGUGCAAGUGAGGACCUGGCUCUGCUCUCGCUCUGGAUGGCGUGGUAAGGCCGUUGACUCUGCCCCACCACAUUCAACUGGGUAUAAUGGCAGAGCCCUCCAGGGUUGAUGUUGAGAUGAAACGGGAAAUUUGUGGACAGUCCAGUGCAGUCCUGGUUCUGGGGACAGGAGUAGGCAUCUUGUAGUCACUGGAGCAAUGGUGGAGAAGCCAAGCCAGUUCUCUCCCUUCAAAGCCAGGUCAGCCCUGUGGAGGGCAGGCAGGGCCUGCCAGGUGUGAUCUGGCUGACUUGGGGCAGGAUGGCCUCUGUUACCUGGUCAGGAAGACACAUCACUCCCAUGUUUCUCCAAAUGUCAGCUCAGACCUAGUGCACACCCAGACUCACGGCCCACUGCUCUGGAUAUUGACCUGGCCCCUGACAUGGGACAAGAAGGAAACAGUUGGGUAGGAGAAAUGGCAGGUGACACUUUCCCAAGUAAGUCCAUGGAUUGAUUCACUUGAGAUAAGCCCUGGGGGCUAUGUCUCCAGGGUCACCUUCCUCUCAGGGUUGUCUCCCUGCCAGUGAGUAACUGUUGUAGGCACCUAGGGAUGGAAGUUAACUGCGGGAGGUCCCUCCUGAGGACAGGCUGAGCUCUGUCCCUGAAUCCCACACAUAUGGCUCCUUGUUGUAGCUCCUGGCCCGUGGCUGGCUGAUUUGAAGGCCCAUCUUCAGUGGAGCUCCCAGGGAUGGUGGGUGGAUGGGAAGCAGGAGCUCUUGCUUUCCUUUGACCUUUGUUCCAGAAGCUUGGGCAGGGCUGGCCUGUUUCCAGGUUGCAAUCAGACUAGAGCCCCAAGCUUGGCAUCAGCACAGCCCCUAUUCCAGCAGUUUCUGAGGGGCUUCUCACUGCCUCAAAGAGACCUUGCAUUUUACAGGGUAGCUGGGUCCAUCCUGUGGGCACUGAGCCCAGUCUCCCCCUUAGGGGACCGUCAGCUUCUGAAGGACCCACAGAGACAUGCUUGGGACAUGUGUCCAAAACUCUCAUCUCCAUCUUUCUGAGUAGACAGAGGGUCUCGAGAGAAUGGCCAGGAUGGCCUGGAGCCCCCCAGCUCUGUCUCCUGCAGCAGACAGACCUAUCAUGGUGCCGCUUGGCCCCAAACUGGGUCUUUAAAGGUGAGCAGGACUGCCCAGGAGGGGCUGGGCA